rnacentral:rRNA from 1 species
AUGACGCUCGCCACCCGAACGACUACCGCCGAUGCGUACCUCUCCGUCGUCGUGGGUUUCGUCAAGUUCAAUGGUGAACCCCGAAGUACUCGGAUCCGUCAAGUCCAACAACGACUGUGUAUACUAUCAGCGACGUCGAACAACCACGUGACGAGAACGUCUACUUCCCCUACACCGCAUCAAUCUCGAACCCCUCCGAUAACGCACGCUUCGAAGGUAUAA